GGUGGCGAGGGGUUUCGAGUGCGGGACAUCGACGGUCUUGAAAACCGUCGUGGCAGCGAUGUCACCGUGGGUUCAAAUCCCACCGCCUCCG
rnacentral:tRNA from 1 species